GCAUACUUUCCCAAACACACAGAAAGGCUUCAACAGUGGGAGGCCAGUCAUUAAACAUCUCUUACCUAAGAGCAAAGUUCUCUUCAUUCUUCAUUCCUACGCUGUUGUUAGGCACUGUGCUGCAUCCCACCAUGUUUAUAGCUUUCCUCAAGCUCAGUGAUAGCAUGCGUAAUGCCUCAAAGGACCAGCACACUGUGAGUUAUGAGGUGUGACCCUGCUCAUUUUGGCUGCUGUGUCAAAUCACACCUGCAAAUGGAAAUGACUGUGUCUAAUGGACUGAUUCCUAGCCCCAGUGCAGAGGCUCUCACUGGAUGUGGUGCCCUGGCAGUGGACAUCUCCCAGCCCUGGGCAGCUCCACAGAUAUCACCCUGGUGCCUGCAGGUUUUUCCCACUAGUAAGGCAAUGUGGGAGCUGGUGCUGCUCCAGCCUUGGUGCUGCCUCAGACACCCCGUGGCCUCUUCAGCAUCCAGCAGCAGGAGCUCAGGGCUCUUAACAGGAGAUCAUGGGAGGGCUGAACUGGGAAGGGACAUUUGAAGGCCAUCUGGUCCAAUGCUUAGGGUAUAAGAAGGGUCACCUAGAGCAGGUUGCCUGGCACCAUGUCCACAUGGCUUUUGAAGCUCUCCAAGGAAGGAAGCACUUCUCCAGCCAUGCCUGGUGUUGGACAGCAUCCAGCCUGCACAACUAACCAGGGCACAGCAGUGAGAGGUGUCCCAAAAGAGAGGAGAUGACAGUGUCACAAAGGUCCAGGUGGGAGGUAGGAUUCUGCUCAGUUUCAUUUGUGUGGCACUUCGCUGAAGGCCCAGAUGCAACCCCCAAGUUUUAGUGCUUCUCAGAGAGAUAUGAAGGAGGUCAGGUAGGGACAGAUAGUACACAGCAGUCACAUCGCUUUUGUAAUGUCACUGCUCAUUCUACUCACAACUUGGGCAAUCAUUUAGAACAGGCUCACCGAGAAGCUCGGCUGAUGUACAAAUUUCCCCCUAAAUUUAGUAGAAGGAUUUCACAUUUCCUUUUUUGCAGCAAGGCAAGAAUUCACCCCGAUGGCCGCAGUGCCAUUAUUAUACAUCAUUUAAAACACUGCCCGUCUCAGACUCCACAGGGAGAAAACCUCCCCCUGAGCAAAGCAGGGCUGUCAGGAGGUUCUGCAGGCUUCCUUCCCUAUGUGCACUGGCUCUGGGUGCCAGCUGCAUGCCGCCAGAGCCUCCAGCUCUGGCUGCCUGCAAUGGCAGGAGCACUCCCAGUCUAAUGCACAGAUCUGUCAAAAAGAUGAAGCAAAGAAAAUGUUGGAUUUUUUACAACAGCAGGGAAGGCAGAGCCAGCUUAGACUGUAGAAGGACAUCAGAAGAAGCCUCUGCCUUUUGAGGGUCCUAAAAGCUAGCUCUCCAAUCCUAUCAUGGGUAUUUUGGCAAUACCAUUAAGAAAGUUUGACUCUGGACAGGAGUAAAUAGCCAUGCUUCAUUCUCCCAAGCUGUUGGUAUUUCCAGAAUUUCAUAGGCAUUUCUGAAUUGAUGUGCAAUGGUGAAACACCUGAAGGCCU
ensembl:lncRNA